rnacentral:rRNA from 1 species
UACGUAGGGGGCAAGCGUUGUCCGGAUUUAUUGGGCGUAAAGAGCGUGUAGGCGGCUAGGUAGGUCCGUUGUGAAAACUCGAGGCUCAACUUCCAGACGUCGACGGAAACCGUGUGGCUAGAGUCCGGAAGAGGAGAGUGGAAUUCCUGGUGUAGCGGUGAAAUGCGCAGAUAUCAGGAAGAACACCAAUGGCGAAGGCAGCUCUCUGGGACGGUACUGACGCUGAGACGCGAAAGCGUGGGGAGCGAACAGG